UACGUAGGGGGCAAGCGUUGUCCGGAAUCAUUGGGCGUAAAGAGCUCGUAGGCGGUUUGUCGCGUCGACUGUGAAAACCCGGGGCUUAACUUCGGGCUUGCGGUUGAUACGGGCGGGCUGGAGUUCGGUAGGGGAGACUGGAAUUCCUGGUGUAGCGGUGAAAUGCGCAGAUAUCAGGAGGAACACCGGUGGCGAAGGCGGGUCUCUGGGCCGAUACUGACGCUGAGGAGCGAAAGCGUGGGGAGCGAACAGG
rnacentral:rRNA from 1 species